rnacentral:rRNA from 1 species
AGUGAACGCUGGCGGUAGGCCUAACACAUGCAAGUCGAACGGCAGCACAGUAAGAGCUUGCUCUUACGGGUGGCGAGUGGCGGACGGGUGAGGAAUACAUCGGAAUCUACUUUUUCGUGGGGGAUAACGUAGGGAAACUUACGCUAAUACCGCAUACCACCUACGGGUGAAAGCAGGGGAUCUUCGGACCUUGCGCGAUUGAAUGAGCCGAUGUCGGAUUAGCUAGUUGGCGGGGUAAAGGCCCACCAAGGCGACGAUCCGUAGCUGGUCUGAGAGGAUGAUCAGCCACACUGGAACUGAGACACGGUCCAGACUCCUACGGGAGGCAGCAGUGGGGAAUAUUGGACAAUGGGCGCAAGCCUGAUCCAGCCAUACCGCGUGGGUGAAGAAGGCCUUCGGGUUGUAAAGCCCUUUUGUUGGGAAAGAAAAGCAGCAGGUUAAUACCCCGCUGUUCUGACGGUACCCAAGAAUAAGCACCGGCUAACUUCGUG